rnacentral:tRNA from 1 species
GGUGGCUCAGUGGUAGAGUGCUUGCCUUGCAUGCAUGAGGCCCUGGGUUUGAUUCCCCGACACCA